UCAGCCACACUGGAACUGAGACACGGUCCAGACUCUUACGGGAGGCAGCAGUGGGGAAUUUUGGACAAUGGGGGCAACCCUGAUCCAGCCAUUCCGCGUGAGUGAAGAAGGCCUUCGGGUUGUAAAGCUCUUUCGGACGGAACGAAAUGGUUACGGACAAUACCCGUGACUGAUGACGGUACCGUAAGAAGAAGCACCGGCUAACUACGUGCCAGCAGCCGCGGUAAUACGUAGGGUGCGAGCGUUAAUCGGAAUUACUGGGCGUAAAGCGUGCGCAGGCGGCGGCUCAAGUCAGGUGUGAAAUCCCCGGGCUUAACCUGGGAAUUGCGCUUGAAACUAGGCCGCUAGAGUGUGGCAGAGGGGGGUGGAAUUCCACGUGUAGCAGUGAAAUGCGUAGAGAUGUGGAGGAACACCGAUGGCGAAGGCAGCCCCCUGGGUCAACACUGACGCUCAGGCACGAAAGCGUGGGGAGCAAACAGGAUUAGAUACCCUGGUAGUCCACGCCCUAAACGAUGCGAACUAGGUGUUGGGGAAGGAGACUUCCUUAGUACCACAGCUAACGCGUGAAGUUCGCCGCCUGGGGAGUACGGUCGCAAGAUUA
rnacentral:rRNA from 1 species